rnacentral:rRNA from 1 species
GAUGAACGCUGGCGGCGUGCCUAAUACAUGCAAGUCGAGCGAACAGACGAGGAGCUUGCUCCUCUGACGUUAGCGGCGGACGGGUGAGUAACACGUGGAUAACCUACCUAUAAGACCGGGAUAACUUCGGGAAACCGGAGCUAAUACCGGAUAAUAUAUUGAACCGCAUGGUUCAAUAGUGAAAGACGGUUUUGCUGUCACUUAUAGAUGGAUCCGCGCCGCAUUAGCUAGUUGGUAAGGUAACGGCUUACCAAGGCAACGAUGCGUAGCCGACCUGAGAGGGUGAUAGGCCACACUGGAACUGAGACACGGUCCAGACUCCUACGGGAGGCAGCAGUAGGGAAUCUUCCGCAAUGGGCGAAAGCCUGACGGAGCAACGCCGCGUGAGUGAUGAAGGUCUUCGGAUCGUAAAACUCUGUUAUUAGGGAAGAACAAAUGUGUAAGUAACUAUGCACGUCUUGACGGUACCUAAUCAGAAAGCCACGGCUAACUACGUG